rnacentral:rRNA from 1 species
CCUACGGGAGGCAGCAGUAGGGAAUAUUGCUCAAUGGGGGAAACCCUGAAGCAGCAACGCCGCGUGGAGGAUGAAGGUUUUAGGAUUGUAAACUCCUUUUGGGAGAGAAGAUAAUGACGGUAUCCCACGAAUAAGCACCGGCUAACCUCGUGCACGCAGCCGCGGUAAUACGGAGGGUGCAAGCGUUACUCGGAAUCACUGGGCGUAAAGGGUGCGCAGGCGGGCUUGUAAGUCAGAUGUGAAAUCCCGUUGCUUAACCACAGAACUGCAUGUGAAACUGUGAGUCUAGAGUGUGGGAGGGGUAGGUGGAAUUCUUGGUGUAGGGGUAAAAUCCGUAGAUAUCAAGAGGAAUAC